rnacentral:rRNA from 1 species
AACGAACGCUGGCGGCAGGCUUAACACAUGCAAGUCGAACGCCCGUAGCAAUACGGGAGUGGCGGACGGGUGAGUAACGCGUGGGAACGUGCCCUGAGGUACGGAAUAACUGAGGGAAACUUCAGCUAAUACCGUAUGAGCCCCUAACGGGGGAAAGAUUUAUCGCCCUUAGACGGGCCCGCGUCGGAUUAGCUAGUUGGUGGGGUAAUGGCCUACCAAGGCGACGAUCCGUAGCUGAUCUUAGAGGAUGAUCAGCCACACUGGGACUGAGACACGGCCCAGACUCCUACGGGAGGCAGCAGUGGGGAAUCUUGGACAAUGGGCGCAAGCCUGAUCCAGCCAUGCCGCGUGAGUGAAGAAGGUCUUCGGAUUGUAAAGCUCUUUUGCCAGGGACGAUAAUGACGGUACCUGGAGAAUAAGCCCCGGCAAACUUCGUGCCAGCCGCCGCAGUAACAC